rnacentral:rRNA from 1 species
UACGUAGGGUGCGAGCGUUGUCCGGAUUUACUGGGCGUAAAGGGCGCGUAGGCGGUCAGCACAGGUCAGUUGUGAAAUCUCCGGGCUUAACUCGGAAAGGUCAACUGAUACUGUGCGACUAGAGUGCAGAAGGGGCAACUGGAAUUCUCGGUGUAGCGGUGAAAUGCGUAGAUAUCGAGAGGAACACCUGCGGCGAAGGCGGGUUGCUGGGCUGACACUGACGCUGAGGCGCGAAAGCCAGGGGAGCGAACGGG